UCAACACGUUGCGAAGCUGAGCCCAAGCCUCACAUCCGCGUGUGCCACACGCCUAGCAGCGCACUCCCGUGGCCCAGCCUGCUCUUGCGACCCAACCUACUCCCAUGGCUUUCCAAGCAGCCUAAAUUAGUCCAAGAUUAGUUUAACCAUAACAGCUUCAAAUUUCUGGGCCUACGAUCGAACUAGGGGCAUUUUCACCGUAUUUCUUCGUGAAUUUGACAUUUCCUAACUCAAAUCUCGCACUCGGAGUCUACCACACUUCCACUGCUCAUGGAGACGAAUUCCUUCCAACCUCUUCCAACCCAAAUGGAGAACAACAUUUGUCUCGAAAAAUCAUAGAGUUGACGAGCGCACUGAGAUCUAAUGCGCCCCAGACGAGGUGUCCCGAAGUAGGACAAGGGCAGAUGAAGAACCUCUCCAACAACGUCCCAGCAAGCAUCCACUCAACC
rnacentral:lncRNA from 1 species